AGAAAACAAUAUGGCCGCUCCCAGCUGGGACGUGAGUCUCUGGAUUAGGCAGGCAGAGGCAAUUAUGGGCUUCUGCAGUGGCAAGAAAGGAAGCGCCUGAAGGGUCGUGAGGCCGGGGCUGGACCCGGCACCGCUGGGGCGGCCAGGCCUUGAGGACGCCAAUGGCGAGCAGCGUGGACGAGGAGGCGCUGCACCAGCUGUACCUGUGGGUAGACAACAUCCCUCUGUCCCGGCCCAAGCGAAACCUCUCCCGGGACUUUAGUGAUGGAGUCCUGGUUGCAGAGGUCAUCAAGUUUUACUUCCCCAAGAUGGUGGAGAUGCACAAUUAUGUCCCUGCCAACUCUCUCCAGCAGAAGCUCAGCAACUGGGGUCAUCUGAACAGGAAGGUACUGAAGAGGCUGAACUUUUCAGUACCGGAUGACGUGAUGCGCAAGAUCGCGGAGUGCGCCCCAGGCGUGGUGGAGCUGGUGCUCAUCCCGCUGAGGCAGCGCCUGGAGGAGAGGCAGAGGCGCAGGAAGCAGGGCGCGGCCUCCUUACAGGAGCUGGCUCCCCAGGAUGGCAGUGGCUACAUGGAUGUGGGUAAGGUGGCCUUUUCCAUUUCUCCCUCCCGGUUGGAGCUUUCCUUCUGUCCUUCUUCCCGUUGCUUGUGAGAGUGGAAGUAGGGAGGGGGAAGCAGGAGAAUGAGACUCCAGCACAGUCAUUCCUCCACUUGCCUUGUCUCAGGUUUAUCCCGGAAGGCCCGAGGUGAAGGUGCCCCGGACCCCCAGGGAGGGGGUCAGCUCAGGUAAAGAAGCUGGAAGUUCCUGACUUCACCAGGCUGGUGAUCUCUGCACACAGCUGGGGUUGGGGGGCACGGUACGCUGAGCCUGAGACAGUCGGGAGGCAGGAAAGGGGCUAGGGGGGGAGAAGGGAAGGCCUGGUCGAGGGCACUGAAAGGGUGAGUGUAGGGCCCGAGGUCCAAGCCUCCGCUAAGCUGCUUCCCACCCCAGCUGGGACCGGCCGCCGGCGCCUCGGCCUCCAGCAUAUAACCAGGCGUUGCAGGGCGACCCAAGCUUCGUCCUCCAGAUCGCUGAAAAGGAGCAGGAGCUGUUGGCCUCUCAAGAGACUGUGCAGGUCCUGCAGAUGAAGGUAAGGCGCCUGGAGCACCUGCUCCAGCUCAAGAAUGUGCGAAUCGAAGACCUCUCCCGGCGGCUCCAGCAGGCGGAGCGUAAGCAGCGGUGAGCCGCGGCCCGGGCCGCGCGGGGAGCCCGGGUACCCGCCAGAGCCCCGACGCCGCGCCGGACCCACCCACCGAUGGACAGACCAUUGGGAGGGCGGAGCCUGCUGCUCUCACGAGCCUCUUGAGGCCCGAGUGCCCUCCUUCCUUGGGAUGGGUGAGCGUGGGAGGAGAUGGGACAGGAACUCUAGGAGCGGAGGCCCGGGACUGAGCCGCCUCCUCCCACUCCGGAAAUCCGGGUCAGGAGAAUGGACCGCUUUCCAGAGCCCAGAAGCCAUGUGCAGAGACCUAGCCUGCCCCCCAAAGCAGUGUCCAACACCUUGGGCCCGGCCUUGCAGCUCCCGGCGCUGGGCCUUGGGGGGCGGUCCCUUGGCUCUGUCCACACCCCCAGAAUCAGGUCCCCGCCCAGCUCCGAGGACGGCGGCGUCUCCAUCCAGGCCAGUUUCCCAUGCCCUCAGCCAUGGGGGAAUCUGUCCCGGGCCGCUGAGGGGCUCCCCUGCCCCUCCUGGGAGCUUACCUGGGACCCACCUCGGCGACGGAGACCGCAGCAGCUCGAGAAGGGGUGAGGAGUGGGAUCGCCAGGAGUAGGGAGGACAUCGACGAUGUUCCUGUAGCAGUCGCCCCUCCCUCCUCGCGCACCGGGUACUGAGGGGGAAGGUUUGAAGGAUACAGCUCAGGGCUGCCCCAUUAAAGUUAGUGUUGUGUUCUG
rnacentral:sRNA from 1 species